AUAAAAUAAAAUAAAAUAAAAUAAAUACCCCACUAUUUUAUGUAACGGCUGUAAACAAGUUCCCUUGGUAGUACAUGUAGCCUGUAGCUUAUACAGAGUGUCCUAAGAGCCCUUGGAGAUAGGU
rnacentral:snoRNA from 1 species